rnacentral:rRNA from 1 species
GGAAAUCUCUCCAGGCCCGGACACUGGAAGGAUUGACAGAUUGAUAGCUCUUUCUUGAUUCUGUGGGUGGUGGCUUAAUUUGACUCAACGCGGGAAAUCUCACCAGGCCAGGACACUGGAAGGAUUGACAGAUUCUUAGUUGGUUGAGUGAUUUGUCUUGUUAAUUCCGGUAACGAAAGAGACUCUGUCCUGCUAAAUAGUGUCUGCUUCUCUUUUAAGCAGACAAUUCUUCUUAGAGGGACUGGCGACUCUUAGUCUCACGAAAUUGAGCAAUAA